AUACCUUUCUCGGCCUUUUGGCUAAGAUCAAGUGUAGUAUCUGUUCUUAUCAGUUUAAUAUCUGAUACGUGGGCUAUAAGUCCACUAUGAUAUUAAAUUAAUUUUUGUUGGGGAAGGGCCCAUCACAGUAGCUUGCUGCUGGGGCUCUUGAGCGUCGCUCUUGCGUUGCACUAUUGCAUGAGCUUGGCGCACCCCUA